UCUCAGCUAAUCUCUGCGGCUCCGCCUCCCCGAAGAAAACCCUAACUAACAAAAAUUCAUCCAACCUUCAUUCUUUCAAUACUUUCAUUCUCUAAUCAGUAAUCACCACCACCGAAUACCUUCAAUCUCACUCUUUCGGUAUAACUACUUAUUGAAAUAGUAGAUCAUGUUUUUAAUUUUAGGGAUUUACAUAACCAUCUUCUUUUGCCAUCAAAUCGCUUCAUCUCAAUAUCAAAAUCAAGAUCGAGAAUAAAAUCUAUUUCUCUAAUUGCAUAGUCUUCAUUUACAGAUUCUUUAUUACUGAUUUUUUUUUGUUGGAUCUGAUUUGGGAAUCGAGGGUUUCAGAUUUCAUUGAUUUUUUUUGGAACAACCCAGAUGGUUUUUCGUUUGUGCUAUCUUUUUUUGUUUGGAUCUGAAUUUGGGAAUCGAGUGUUUCAGAUUUUAUUGAUUUUUUUGGAACAACCCUGGUUUUCUUUUGUGCUUAUGCUCUUCGUGUAUACUUUAUAUGGUUUUGGGGGUACCCAAGCACAGCAGCUUCGUGGGUCUGUGGAGGAACACUUGAAAAAUUUCAAAUCUCUGCUGAUUGUCAACCAAAAGAGAAGACGUCGAUGACAUUGAUGGUGCUCAGUAAAAGCUUCAUGAAUGUGAGGAUGGGAGCCAUCUAAAUGACAUUGAUUAGACUGUGAAGUGCUGAGAACUUGGGGUUGCAAAACAUCCAAGCUUGUAUUAUAAUAGUGCAGGCAUUUACGUUAGCAUCUCUCCUUCAGCUCACAUCAAUCUUGGAUUUUAUCAUGUUUCGGUACCUCCAAUGUAGACAAAGUUAACUCACUUGUCCAACCAUUUCGAAUAUGAGAUACUAAGAAGUUCUUUAUUUACCACUUUUGAAUGUAAGGCUCUGGAGAUAAAUCCCAAUGGAAGUAUCAAUAAGCAGGAUCUUCGUGCAUUUCUGAAAUGGGAUGUUGUCCAUCUCGAUUUUCCUUCCUGGAAGAAUUCGAAGCUGUCCCUCCAACUGAUGAGUUGGAGCCUAUAUGAUCCAACUAUAGUUAUUUUUUUUUUUGAAGGAGAACGAGAAAAGGAAAACCCUAGGAGAAACCUAAAUUUAUCAGCAAGAAGAGAAGAAAUCUUAGCCUCUAGUUUCAAGUGAGAAUGGGUUCUUCUUAGUUUUUCUUGGUGAAGUCAAUCUUUCAACUCAGGUGAUGUUUUCUUAAAACCCAAUCUUUUUUUUACAAGACCUGAUUUGGCUUAUUGAUUUGAUUUUCUGUUAUUAGUAAUAAUGAGUGUUUUCUUAUGUGGGUUUUGUUUUUGAAGGUUUUAUAGGAAUCUGAGGAAGAGGAGUAUAUAUUUGCUGAAGAAUGGAUAGUUAUUAGUAAUCUCGAAUAAUAAGUAGCGGUAUGGUAUAUUGGGUGUUUGAGAAAAGUCCCAAAAGAAGCAGAGGAUUUUUUAUUCUUUAUCUCGGAUAGUGAAAAUUUGAGUUUUGUCAUGCGGAUGAAGUGAGUACGUAAAACUGCACAUGCAGCCAUUUUGAGGCCUAUUUCUACGAGUAUGGGUGAUGUUUUAGACAAUCUUUUCUUGACGAAAAAUGUUCCCCUAAGUAGCCUCUGCAACCUGUUAAAAGGGCAUAUUAUUUGGGUUUGUAGUUUGGUAAUUAUACCAUGAAAUGUACAGGCAGUUGGAACUGAAUUUCCUGGAAAAUGUUUCCUGUCACUGUUUUGCCGGGUUGUUUUGGAGCACUUAGACUCUGAAUUAUCCCUUGGAGUCUUAUAAGAAGUUGUAGACGGACUUCUCUAGUUUCCAUCGAGAUAUUAUUUGUUGAAUUCCGUCAUGUAAUGAAGUCUACAGGUCCUUUGCAAUUUAGUCACUCAAAGCUAGAAAACUGGGGAAUUUGGUUGUCUUUUAGACCUGUUCGGAGGCAGUUUCGACCCUCUUAUAAAUAGAAUUAGCUUAAGGUCUCUUCUAAUGAAAUGUAGUCCUCUUAACAAGGUUUUGGAAUUGAUAUUGAGCAUUUCAUUACGAAUUACAGAUCAUGACUUAUGCCUAUUCUAGGAACUGGUAUUCUGCAUUUUAAUUAAUUCCGCAAGUGUGCAGUCAUGAAUGAUUUGACCUCGCACUGAGCACAUUAGCUAAUGAUACGAAGAUAAAUGACAUACUGAUUUUCCUCCAUGUUCAUCUAGGCCAUGAAAUUCUUUACUUAAGAAAAAAAAGAGUAAUUACUUGUUUGGAAUUCUGAAUUCAUCCUAAUGGCUUCUUAAAUGGUUAGGAAAACUUUCUAAGAAUCUUUAUGUCAAGCUUGCUUGUCAUUUCCCUUACCAAACGCAGAUGCAUGUGUGUAAAAUGCUUGUAGUGAUCCAUGGACGAAUUAUAUGUGAUAUAAAACGUGUAUUAAUCUUGUGGAUUGCCAUGUAUGGGAUCACACCCAUCUUUAUGCGGAGUUGUAUUACAUUUUCUUGUCUGUUAUGGAAUUUCAUUGACCACUUUGAUUUGGAGAAAUCAAUGUUUGUGUAGAGGUGUUUUGACAUCUAGCCAAAUUAAGAUUUA